rnacentral:rRNA from 1 species
CGAGGUCAAGCAAAUCCCAUAAAGUUGUUCUCAGUUCGGAUUGUAGUCUGCAACUCGACUAUAUGAAGCUGGAAUCGCUAGUAAUCGUAGAUCAGCAUGCUACGGUGAAUACGUUCCCGGGUCUUGUACACACCGCCCGUCACACCACGAGAGUUUGUAACACCCGAAGCCGGUGGAGUAACCAUUUGGAGCUAGCCGUCGAAGGUGGGACAAAUGAUUGGGGUGAAGUCGUAACAAGGUAGCCGUAUCGGAAGGUGCGGCUGGAUCACCUCCUUUCUAAGGA